AACAGAAGAGAAAAACAGAGGAGAAGAAAAGGAAAAAGGAGAGGAGAAAGGGAAGAAGAGAAAGGGAGGGUUUGUGCGCGCGGGUCCUCGCCGAGCCAUUCCGACUAAGUAACGCAACGACUAGAUUUUGGAACCGUCGGCUCAAGUAUCACAUAUGGGUUAGUUGUGGAUUACCAGGUUCUUCUGCUGGCCGCAAGUAGGGCGUGAGCGGGCGUUAGUCGGAGGAUUUCUUUUUGAUUGUGGGAUUUUGGGCUGCGUCCUUUGGGUGAAAGGACGGCCGUGUUACGAUCCCGUUUUGGUUGUAUUCGGGGUGUGACAGUA